rnacentral:rRNA from 1 species
UAUCUUAGAGAAUUUUUAAUUGUAAAAUUGAAUUGAAAGAUAUCUAUUACAGAUCCUAAUUGAAGUAGCGAUUAUCCAGGUUAAUCUCCUGGGGGCUGAUGAGGAGUAGGGUUUCUGGGCAACUUAAACGGACCCAGAGUUAGUCGAUCCUAAUCAAAUUAAAUUUAGAGAAAGGGAAUAUGAAUGAUAUUUCAUAACUAAAAUUAAUUUUUAAAUGGUGACAUUUUUUUAAACUUAUUUCCAUCAAUUAAAUACUGUUUAAUAGGGAUUUCUUUCCUAUAUAACUUUUUAAUUAAAACUUAAGAAACAGGUUAACUGGAGAAUAAAGUUUUAAUUUAGUAAAAUUAUAAUUUCGAUUAUAAUAACGGCUAUUUAAAUGAUCCAUGAAACGAUAAGUUUAUUUUUUCAAAAAUUAAUUUAAUCGUACCGAUAACCGCAUCAGGUCUCCAAGGUGAGUAGCUUCUGGCCAUUGAGUAAUGGUAAUUUAGGGAAUUCGGCCAAUUAGAGCUGUAACUUCGGGAUAAAGCUUGGCUCUGAUGGAAAUCAGAACCGAUAGUUACAAGGAGAGCCCAACUGUUUAAUAAAAACUUAGUGUCGCGUCAUACCUUUAUAAGUAAUAAACGUGACAUGAAUCCUGCUCAGUGCUGUGUUUGUUAAACUGGAUUAAUCCAUUUAAGCGCCGGUAAAUAGCUGGGGUAACUAUGACUCUUAUCAAAGUAGCGAAAUACCUCGUCACUUAAUUAGUGACCUGCAUGAACGGAGCUAUGAGGUUCUCACUGUCCCAAAUUAUCACUCAGCGAACCAACAGUUGUGGGAACGGGCACAAAUUAUCCAGCGGGGAAAGAAGACCCUGUAGAGCUUCACUUUGGUCUAAUCUUGUAUAGUUUCGUUAGGGGUGCAGUCUAGGUGGGAGAUUUUUAAUCAAAUAUGAGAAACCACUACCCUUUCUGGAAUUAUACUUACUAAAAUUCUUUUCUAAAUUUUAGGAUCGGAUUAGAUAGAAAGUUUGGCUGGGGCGGCACACCUUCGAAAAAGCAGCGAAGGUGUCCUAAGUUAAGCUCAGUAAGGACAGAAAUCUUACGUUGAGGAUAAGGCCAAAAGCUUAAUUUACUGUGCCUUUUUGUACUAGGAUCAGUUUGGAAACAAAGGCCUAACGAUCCCUAAUUAGUCUUAGGUGUGUAAGACUUGGGGUGACAGACAAGUUACCUCCGGGACAACUGGCUUGUGGCUGCUAAGAGAUCAAAUCAACGCAGCUUUUUGAUUCUUCGAUGUCGGCUCUUCCUAUCCUAGUGAUGUACAAGUCACUAAGGGUUGGAUUGUUCACCCGUAUUAGGGAUCGUGAGCUGGGUUUAGACCGUCGUGAGCCAGGUUUGUUUUAUCCUACUGGAUAUAAUUUAGCAUCUUGAUAGUAGUUUGAUUUAGUACGAGAGGAACUGUUGAAUAUGGUCUCUGGUUUGGGAAUUUUAUGAAAAUAAAAGUUCCAAAGCUACGCCGUCUGAGAUAAUGGCUGAAGGCCUCUUAAGCCAGAAACUCAUCUAAAAAUAGAUGCUUUAAACUAUUUA